CAUUUUCAAUGCAGGCAUCUAACAUCGUAAUGAGAUCAUCUUUUGUGACAACACCGGUAAAACUACCUUCCUUCUGCAUUACGUAAGUAAAAACAGUGAGCGCUCUGUCAAAUUCUCCUCCACGGAUUGAUAACGUAGCGACUUGCCCAAGCACAUCACCAGUCCAUUUGAAGAUAGACUCUCGAUGUGAAUAAUCGAAAAUCACUAUCUGAGACCAUAAUCGAGGUAGUAGAGCUGCUGCUGCCUGGAAACCCUCGACUUCAAUAGAUUGUAAAAUCUCUUCAACGACAUCCGACUCUGGUCCGUUCUCUUUUGCGAAUUGAACCAAUUUCAAGACGCUGUUGUAAGUUCGCACAAACAACGGCAACCCUUUUUCCUCAGCUUCUCUGUAAAGUGCCCAGGCCCUAUCAAUCUGCGAGAUGGAAAAUACAACAAGGGUAAUAGAAAAAUAAAAACAGGUUCAAAUCAAAGUAAGACAUUUACCUGUAAAUAUUUUGCAGUACCACAGAUUAAUGCAUUGUAUGCUGCUGCAGCUAUUUCAUUUUUUUCAUUUUUUAAUGAAUCAAAUAAUUCUUCAAGAACACUACUGGAUCUGAAGCAAGAAUGCAUGUUUUUUAGACUGGGUUCUAAGAUGUUACUGGGGAAACUACUGGAUACAGACGUACUUCCAUUUGGGUUUAAUAUUUUGAAAUGAUCUUCUAAACCAGCGUUCCUCG
rnacentral:misc_RNA from 1 species